rnacentral:lncRNA from 1 species
UCUCAACCUGGGCAAUUUUUCCCUCCAGGUACACUUGCCAACAGCUGGACACAGUUUUGGUUGUCACAACUGGGCUGGUGAUGCUUGAGCCAUGGCAGCCACUGGAAACCUCAAGGCAAAGGCCAGAGAAUCUCAGAGAUGCAGAGACAGAGGCCUGACAUUCUAGAGCUAGAGAGUAAACCAAAUUAGAGUUGUCUUUUCUGGGCUUCUUGUUAAGGUCUCUCCUACCCCGGGGCCUGUGCACCUGCUGUGCCUCUGCUUGGGGUGCUCUUCCCAGGGCUUGCCCACCUCCUCAGAGAGGCCUCCUGACCCCUGACACGGCCUUGCCCUUCACCUCUAUCGUCCUUUAGAACAGCCCCCACCUCCCGCACAUCAUGCAGUUGCAGGUUCAAUGGCUACUGCUUGUCCUCCAGACUCGUCUCCACAAGCCAACAGCUCUCUCCUGGCUUUGAUUUUCAACCAUUUAAGUUGAAAAAAAUUCAAAACAAAUGAAAUGCACUUAAGAGAAAGCCUUGAGGAGUUCAGCAGGCCACCCAAAGUGAAGGGACUCCUUUGGGGGUCUUUGUUGUUAUCAAUUAUUUAUUGAGCCCUGAUGUGUUCCUGGCGCCACCAAGACCGAAAGGAGACAGGGUCCCUGCCCUGGGGCAUCCCAACAAAGAAGGGAGAGUUUGUGAAGCUUAAAAAUGUCCCAGAUGGUAAAACAGUUACACGUCAUACUUUAAUCAAUGACUCCUGAAAUUUUAGGAUAGGCCUCAUCACUCCUCAGAUGAUUCUCGAAGGAUAACACACAGGCCAGUGGGCAGCCCUAGGCCAGGGGGAUUACCAAGACAUGAAGACUUUCUUUCUGUCUCAGCAACCUUCAUGCUUGGUCAAGCAAAGGUGUUGCUUAAGUCAAACCCAGGGCAGGGGAGAGCAGUUGAAGCAAAGUGAGUCUUUGGAGGCCCUGUGGUUGUGGGGUCUGGUGUGGAGACAGUGAGAACGGAAAAGGUGGGAGAGGAGCAGUCAACCCGUGAAUGGCCCCAUUCAGACGCCUUUACCUGGAAGACGUGGCAGGUGAUACUGAGGUACUAGGGAGCUGUGAAGCAUAUGCUGUGAGACAACACAGCUGAGCAGCCCAGCCAGAGCCCCCUGGGGAAGCCGUCAGAGGUCAGCAGCUCCCGUCUCCUUCCCUCUUGACUCCUAAUAGUCUAGGACAGAACUUUGCCCUCCCUUCUUCCUGUCCCAAAGAUGCACAAUGAUAAUGAUGCUGAUGGUUAUUUAGUAAGAAACUUCCCAACAGGAACAGUCAUCAGGAGGGGGCACAGUUGGAUUCUCUCCAGUGAAGAUGUCAGGAUGGACAGAAAUGUCAGCGUAAUCCAAAGAGGACACAAACACCCCUGCUAUUUUCUUGUCACCAGGAAAAGGCCAGCUCUAGGUCUACUGGGGUUCAUCCCAUCUGAGCCAGGCCUGGCUUUUCUUGGCUGCAAGCUGAGAGCUGGGUCCAGGUCUGCUGAACCAAGGUUCUCCCAUCUUCCUUGAGCCAGUGACAAUCAGAGGCCUAUUUCUUUCAUGACGGAAGGCAGGAGAACAAGCAGGCAAGACCAGCUGUGCUAGCACAUGGCACCCCUUUCCCACAUCACACCUGCUAACAUCCCAUUGUUCAAAGCAAGUAACACAACCAAACCCAAUAUCAACAGGACAAGAAAACAGACUCCACCUCUAGGUGCACAAACUACAGAGUCACGGACAGAGAACACAGAUCUAGGGAAGGAAGCUGGAGAAUGAGAACAAUGACCCUCAAUAACACAACCUCCCACAGGUUUCCAAAUCCCCAACCUGAGCAUAUUUCCAAGGAAACGGAAUCAUGGGUUCAGGGUUUUAGAGCAAGCAAUUUCUGCUCUCCCAGCUUAGUUUCCAUACCCUUAACACAGGGGCAAUGACGUCGCAUCGAAUCAUAUCUUAUAAGUCUGUGAUGAUGUUUCAACAACUGAACGCCAGAAAAGUGCUUAGAGCAAGGCCAGGUCCCGGCUCACCCACCCAGCAGCUCAGCACCUGCGAAAUCCGUCUCCCGAUGCACACUUGCUAACCGCGUGGGUGUGAGCACAACGAUGGGAAACAGCGGAAGUCCCCGGAGUGCAGACUCAGGAGUGAACCUGCCUGAAGAGUGGCGUCUAACGCACACACUGUGGUCAGCUCCACCCCACUAUGGGUCCCGGGAAUAGGAGCAAGUAUGUAUUUUGCUUGCAGGGCAGGUGUUUCAUCCACAUUAUUGCAGGAACAGAUGAAUUUAAUUAAAAGAACACCACAGUGGGCACCUCUUCCAGGGAUGUCUCCCUCUAAGAACAUGACACUGAGAUGAUCAAGGUUCUAAAAGGGCGAUCAAAUUACUCUCCGAAAAUGAAACUGCUCAGACAGAAUGACAAUUAAAUUAAUAACAACCAAGACAAUGCCCAGAUUUCAUCUCCGCUCACAGCCCCUCCUGUGUGCUGUAUGAUCAGGUUCUUGGGGUGGCUCCAGAUACAGCAAACAGUCAGGAUUAAUCCACAAGAGUGAGCUGUCAGCAUGAGGUUCCCCUACAGUGGAGCUUGCCAAGGUCCGUGCCUCCCAGGGCACCCGUUCCAGGGCUAACAGAUGAAGCAUGGAAAUGCUGUGUGGAGUGAGCUAAGCAGCCGUUCUCAGGAGAAAACAGACAAAUCCUCCUGCAUCCUGGCAAACCAGCUUUGUGGCCUGUUUUAUGUCAUCUUUGCUGAGCUCCACCGGGUCACCCCUCCUGUUGGCUUUGUGAUACUGACAUUUCAGGCACUGGCACAGAUACAUUGGCCUUCCUGGCUGGGAUUUCACGGACGGAGUGAGCAGUGCUGGCUUGGAGGAGCCGUGGCGGCACAGGGCCUGUGCUCUCAGCUGAUCAACGCCUUGAUAGCCAGGAAAGGCCUGUCCUACCCCAAAGGGCCCUCGCAGCACUGUUUGAAAUUGCUCUUGCCAUCUUUGGAAUGGAUUCCUCAGUACAUUUCAGACUCGUUGUUGUGACUUUGGUUUUAAUCCAGGGACACACCGUGGCCAGUGGAGUGUCUCAACAGCAUCUAUGAUCGCUGUUUCCCAGAGACAGCAUCUCAGAUACCGAUGCUGAAAGAGAAACAGCAGCCUGUCCCCAAGUGGCAGGAAAUAGUCCAUUUUAAUGGCAAUUUCAUAAGUGGCAGAUGAUUUUUAUUGUAAUUUUCUGGUGAGCUGAUUAAGUGGAGGCAGAGUCAGUUCUGAGGCGUCAAUGUCUUUAACAAUUCGGGGAGACGGAGGCCACGCUCAGCAGGAACACUGAGUCCAUGGAAAACAGGCCCUGGGCCCGCUGAUGUGCAUAAUUCCACGUUUGCCCCUCAUGUAACCAGGAUGGUAAAUUACAGGUGUCAGAUAAUCACGCUCUGGAGUGGCUACUUGAGGAUGCGAUCGACCAAUUUAAGCUCCGUCUGACACAUGAUCAAUAGCCCGUGAUGCUGCAUGGAAUUGCAGGCACAGUGUCCAAACCUGCAGAGCAGUGGCUCCCAGCUGGGGCAACUUUGCCCCCCAGAGGACAUUUGGCAAUGUCUGGAUAUGUUUGCAAUUGUCACAACUAGGAAAGGAGGUACCCAUAGGAUACACAGGAAAGUCCUCACACAGUUGUAUCCUGCCCAGACUGUCCGUAGAGCCAGGGUGAGAUGCUCUGACAGAGCCACAGUGAACAUUGCAUUCCAUCAUCUGGGUAUCUCCAGGAAUGUAUGUAGCUGGAUGUCUGGCUUUUCAUCUGGGUUUCACGAGCCUCCUGCAGAACUGAAACCAUGUGCAAAUCAGUUCUCAUACUUGCUCUCCUGCCUCCUUCCUAUUGUAAUUUUUUCUUCCCACCUUUUUUAUUGUUACUAGAGAAAUGAUGAAGAAAAAGAAUAGGCUGGAGAGUCACUCAAAAUUUUGUUUUCCUCAAUUAAAAAGAAGUAAUUUAGAAGUUACUCAAUGAUGUUUUCUUUAAUUAAAAAAAAAAGUAGUUUGGGAAAGCAGAAAAUUAAUGAAGACAGAAAACACAGGUUUCAUGAAAAAGUUCAGCAUCCCAGGAAAGGAGCAAAGAGAAGUCUGCAGAUGAGAGUUGCUCAGUGUCAGGACUCAGAAAACAAUACCCCAAGAUAAUGUUCAAACCUGAGUGCUUUGAACAAAGGAUAUUGAAAGACCUCAGAAGAGGGCCUCAGAACUCACAUGUCUCUCUGACCUUCUCCUGUCUCUCCUUCACUUCCAAAGCAUGAUCUUUGGCCAGGGGAUCUCUCUGGGAUUCCCUUAUCUGCCUGAGGGAUGUACUUCCAAAAGAAAUGUGACUGGCAUGACCUCCUCCCUAGGAAUCUCUUCAAACAGCCGGGAAAGACUGGUCACCUGAGAGGAGAUUGGAAGUCCUCACUGCACUCAGAAAGGCUGUUGUCCAUUCUUCUAGAGACUUUAUCUGAAUAACAAGGCAACUUUUGUUUACCAUUCAGUUCCUCCCCUUUCCUUUCUAACUUGUCACCACCUCCCCCAAAAGCCUCAAGCCUCCACUCCUACAAGCUAUAAAGACUUCAACCAUCU